GUGCGAAGUACCAUAAAUAAUCUGUAUAUUAUGUCUCUUUCAAAAUUUGCCAGUUUGACGCAGAAGAUAAAAUUAAAUCCACAAGCAUAAAUAUAGAAGCAGAGCACAGAACAGAAAACAUCAGUCCUGGGAUUCCGGACGUUAGACCAGAGAUACCAAAGACCACUACUAUAGAUUCCUUAUACACUCACACACUCAAGGAAGAAUCCCAAGUAUGGAAGCUUCUACAUCUUCAGAAAAGCAAGCACCAAAAAGUAGAGUUUUGAAGGAGAAGAGAGCCAAGUUUUACAUUAUUCGAAGAUGCAUUGUCAUGCUUCUUUGUUGGAAGGAUAAAGGAGACAAGUA